rnacentral:rRNA from 1 species
UACGGGGGGGGCAAGCGUUGUUCGGAAUUACUGGGCGUAAAGGGCGCGUAGGCGGACGGGAAAGUCUUUCGUGAAAUCCCACGGCUCAACCGUGGAAUUGCGGGAGAUACUGCUCGUCUUGAGUUCGGGAGAGGAGUGUGGAAUUCCCAGUGUAGCGGUGAAAUGCGUAGAUAUUGGGAGGAACACCGGUGGCGAAGGCGGCACUCUGGACCGAUACUGACGCUGAGGCGCGAAAGCUAGGGGAGCAAACGGG